rnacentral:rRNA from 1 species
UACGUAGGGGGCAAGCGUUGUCCGGAUUUAUUGGGCGUAAAGAGCGUGUAGGCGGCCUGGUAGGUCAGCUGUGAAAACUCGAGGCUCAACCUCGAGACGCCGGUUGAAACCAUCAGGCUAGAGUCCGGAAGAGGAGAGUGGAAUUCCCGGUGUAGCGGUGAAAUGCGCAGAUAUCGGGAAGAACACCCGUGGCUAAGGCGGCUCUCUAGUACGGUACUGACGCUGAGGCACGAAAGCGUGGGGGAUCAAACAGG